rnacentral:rRNA from 1 species
UACGAAGGGGGCUAGCGUUGCUCGGAAUCACUGGGCGUAAAGGGUGCGUAGGCGGGUUUUUAAGUCAGGGGUGAAAUCCUGGAGCUCAACUCCAGAACUGCCUUUGAUACUGAAGAUCUUGAGUUCGGGAGAGGUGAGUGGAACUGCGAGUGUAGAGGUGAAAUUCGUAGAUAUUCGCAAGAACACCAGUGGCGAAGGCGGCUCACUGGCCCGAUACUGACGCUGAGGCACGGAAAGCGUGGGGAGCAAACAGG